ensembl:lncRNA
AUCACAUUGUGCUACUGGAGGAGGCGAAGGGUAAAAGGGAGCACACUUCCUGUUUCCUUGCUAAAUAUGAGUCUCCUUGCUAUGUCACUUCCUGCCUGGAUCACCACUUCUCUACUACAUUUCCCAGAAUCCUCUUUGACUCCUAGUCCCAUCUAACUUGCUGUUUCAUUGGCCAAACAGUAUUUUAUUUAACAAUCAAUAAGAUAAACAACACAGAAGUACUUCCCCCAUCAUCUCCUCUUUUCUGUCUAAAAUAAAAGGAUAGCUUAUCUUUUAUAAUAAUUGAAGAAAACUAUAACCAUAACUAUCUGUCUUCAACUCUAUCAAAGACCCACCACUCCUGACACCAUUCCAUAAAUCUUUCCGCCAAAAGCCACCAAGCCCCACUGCCACAUGUGCCCUUUAUGCCAGCCCCUCCCCAAUGAAUACACAGAAACUUGUAUUAGGUUCAGUGAUGCUUGGCCAAUGACUAGGAUUCCUCAUCUGUUAGCUCAGUCUCAAUUAUCAUAAAUCUAUAUAUCUUAUAAGACUUAUCUUAUCGGAUGCCUUAUUGGCGUCCCUCCUUGCCGGUGGAUCACAUUGUGCUGCUGGAGGAGCAAGGGGAAAAGGGCCCUUCCUGUUUCUCCUUCGCUUAAAUAUGAGUCUCCUUGCCAUGUCACUUCCUGCCUGGAUCACCACUUCUCUACUACAUUUCCCAGAAUCCUCUUUGACUCCUAGUCCUGUCUAACUUGCUGUCUCAUUGGCCAAACAGUAUUUUAUUUAACAAUCAAUAAGAUAAACAUACACAGUACAUUCCCCAUCAUCCUUCCCUUCAGGCAGACCUUGAUCUACUCAGUAUAGCUGAAAUUAAUUAUGCUCAAUGAAAACCAAACUUUCUAAUCUUUUACUUUCUAAUCUUUCUUGCAGCAAGGGGUCAGAAUUCUAGCCAACUGGAACUCUCUUACCCAGGAAGUUCUCACUUGGCUGAUAUAAAGAAGUCCCAUUAUCCCUUUGCUACCAGAGAAGUGGUAGUUGUGAAACUACCAUGAUGACAAAAACUACUCACAUGGGACGACAAUGAAGAAAGAGAAAGAAUUUGGAAGCUUUCAGAAGUAUUGACCAGAUUUGGCCUGUUUUGUUUUGUUUUAUGAAAGAAAGUAAAAGAAGAGAAGGGAAAAAGAAAAUGACUCAAUUUGGCUAAUUGGGCUUCUAUUACAAUUGGCCAAACACAGUCUGUAGUGAUACACUGGCUUCCUCUGAGUCCUUGAUUGAAAUAACGGGAAGCCACACAGCAGAGGCCAGCUUCUCUUGAGAUGAAUCUAUGCUGUCUGGCUAUAAAAUUCACCAACCAUCUUCCUACUCAGCCCUCAAGGUGCACUGUGUCUACCUAGACGGCCUAGGUAGAAGAGUUGUCUUCUAAAACUCCAAUCUACUCUGCCCCCAGCCUCCCCUGAUUUCUCAGAUUAGUAAUGCCAUCCCAAAACAGUCUGCAGGGAGUCCUGUCUUCCCUGUGGUGCACACAUGUGAUUGCAGGAAAAACACCCAUCCCCAUAAAACUGAAAUAAAACAAUCUUUUGGUUUACUAAAAUAAACCAAAAAAAAAAAAAAAGUUUCAUGUGGGUGGUCCAUACUCUCUUGUGAAGUCACUAUUUCCCUUCUUGAGUACCACCUUUUUUUCAUCCUACUGUGCCUGAUCUGGGUUCAAAAAUGCCCCCAGAUUUGUGUGUGUGUCUUUUUCCCUCUUCCUGCUUAUCUGGAUGUUUACUGGUGGCAUUGUGUGUGUGUGUGUGUGUGUGUGUGUGUGUAUGUGUAAGGGAAAGUGUCUUAUUUUCUAAUAAAGGGGGUGGAGGCUAACUGCAGCUUCAAAGAUGCCAAUCCACAAAGGAGCACUUUAACCAUCAGGAAACAAAGCUACCAAGAUACAGCUGCAGUUUCCUUGGUUACCUCACAUCCUAUUCUUUGUCUACUGGGUCAAGAUGAACCUAACCACUGAAGGGGUAGUUGUACAGGGCACCGUCUCAUUCCUGCUCAUGUCUGCCUAGCUACUCACAGUAACAGUGCCCUCCACUGUUCUGUUCUUAUUUUAAGCAGUGCAGAUGCGUCCUGCUUGGCUGAGUCUCCUGACCCUCGUGCACAUUCAGGAAAGCUAAGACAUGAAUAUUGGUGCAUUAGUACCAACCGCACACCAGGCUAUUUAGCUCUCAUCAUUUUCUCCCUGUCAUUUCAAGAUCAGCCUAGGAUCCCACAUUGCAUUUAAUCUUCAUUCAUGCUUAGUUUCAUUCUUCAGGGUACGUCUAACUUUUUUUCCUCCUUUCUCAUCCCAAUUAUUAGGUUUUGAACUAGAAAAUUCUCUCUGGGAGCUGGAGAAAUGAUCCGGUGGUUAAGAAUGCAUUCUUUUGUAGAGGACCUGAGUUCAGAUCCCAGUGCCCUCACUGGGUAAUUCAAAACCACCUCUAACUACAGCUCCAGGAACUCUGGAGUCCUCUUCUGGCCUCUGAGGACACUGUGUUAACAUGCACAUGGUUUGAAUAAAUUAAAAAAAAAAAACUUUUAAAAGAAAGGUCCGUUUCCCUGUUAUUUUCUUUAGUUUAUAAGGCAGCCAAGUUUUUCUUUAAAUAUAUUCUCUUUAAAGAGCCUAUCCCAUUGGAUGGGGGCAGAAAUCAUUCGUUAGAAAUCUGAGGCUCCCCAUAGUCCCUGGACUCAACAAACGUGGUGAAGUGUUCAUUUGCAGCCAUGUUUCACCACUGCUCCCCCUAUCGGUCCAAAGGAGGUCUUAAGUGAAAGUCUCGGAGAUUUCCCUUCAUCUUAUGUCUAAAAGUCUGUGCCUUUGAACAAAACAUUUGACAGGAGCUAGGAUGCUGGGCCUGACGCCAAGAGUGAGUCUGAGCCUGGGGAUCCAGCCAACGCCCCAGUGACGGCACUCUAGGGGAUCUGGAAAGAGAGGAAGCUGGGUUGGAUAUCACAUUGCAUCUUUGUGGGAUUAAGAGAAAAACAGCAACAAAAAUCAGCCCCAUGAAGUUAAUGGACCUUUAAUAGGAUUAAAAGGUAAAUGAAGUAGUGAUGAAUUCAGGGUGUGUGUGUGUGUGUGUGUGUGUGUGUGUGUGUGUUUACUGAGGAUUGCCCUUAGGACCUUGUACAUGAUGUAACACCAGCCUUAUUUUUACAUUUUAUUUUUUGAAAUUUUACAAGUUGCCCAAGCUCUCUCUCUCUCUCUCUCUCUCUCUCUCUCUCUCUCUCUCUCUCUCCCUCUCUCUCUCUCUCUCCCUCCAUCCUCCUCCUCCCUCGCCUUCCUUCCUCCCUCCCUCCUUCCUUCUUUCAUGUAUGCAUGCCACAGUAUACAUGUGGACAUCAAAAGGCCAUUUGCAGAAGUCAGUUCUCUACCUCUACCAUGUGGGAUUCAGGGAUUAAACCCACUAGCCACCUUGCUAAUCUUGGCCUUGAAUUUUUGGUCUUCCUUUCUCAUGUAACUCCCAAGAAGCUGUGAGUAUCCCACCAGGCCCAACACAUAUUUUAUCUAAUGCUAUAUAAAGAUAUACUUAAAUGUUAUAAAUAUGUCAUUAUUUUAUAUGCAACUAAUUGUAUUAAAUUCAUUAUGGGGCUAGAGAGAUUGCUUAGUGGUUAAGAGCCCUUGUUGCUCUUGCAGAGGACCUAGAAUCAAUUCCCAGCACCCACAUGAUGGUUCAUAACCAUCCAUAGCUCCAGUUCCAGUGACUAUGAAGCCCUCUUCUGACUUCUCUUGGCAUCAGGCAAACGAGUGGUACAUAUACAUUCUCGCAAGCAAAGCAUUUAUAUGCAAAAUAUAAAACAAAUCUAAAAACUUUUAAAUCUAUUUACAUGCAAUGUAAACAUUAUAUUUUUAUACAAUCUAUUCAAACACUGAGAUAUCAAAUUAUUGCUGACAUGACCAUUAGGCAUUAUUUUUAAAAUUCCCCUCAAAGAAGAGAUAGUUGACAAGGACUUGGAGUUUUUCAACAAAUAACACAACCAACAAAUCCUCCUUAUUUUUACUGGGGAAAAAAAUACUGUAUGUCAAGUUGGCCACUGAUUGUGACAAUUUAACAGGUAAGAUUCCAAAAUCUACUACUGGAAGAUGUGAAGUUUGUCUGUUUCUGUAAUGGCACUUUACUGUAGUCAAUGCCACAAAUGUUGCUCAUCACAUUACAUUUGACAUUCAUUAAGUACGUAUUGUGCCCUAAAUACUGGGUUCUAGGCUAAACCUGCUUUAGUUGAAUUAAAUAAUCUUGUUCUCAUAACCUCAAGCUUGAACUCAUAUCCACUUUGCAGAUUAGAAAACUAAAGUUUAGGGUGUCCAUUCAUCCAAGUUACUUGUUAGUAAAGGAGUAGUUUUACCAGGAGCAGGAAAAGGUGCUACAAUCCUUACUUUUUUGCUCCUAUGACCAAAUACUGGCCAAAAGUAACAUAUGGAAAGAGCCUUUGUUUUGGCUUAAGGUUUGAGAGGGUCCAGUCCAUCACAAUAGGGAAGGAUUGAUACUGAAGUGGCCUAGUUCAUGGCAUAAUCAGGAAGCAGAGAAAGGUUCAGGCCACGACUCAGCUGGUGUUCUCAUUUUUUCCAUAUUUAUUCUGUUAUGGACCCUAGUCCAAGCAAUGGUGCAGCCCACAUUCAAGGUAGAGCUUCUGUCCCACAGCUAAUCCUCUCAGAAACACUCUCACAGAAACACCCAAAGGUAUGCCCUAGGUAUUCCUGACUUCACCCAUGUGGAGGAAUUAAACUAUCACAGGUGCCUGGAAAGUUAAAACCUGAAAAAAUAAAAAGAGGAUCCAAUAAUCCCUUGUUAUUUACUGGAGGGAGGUGCAUGUAGGGUCUUCCUUGAACACCAAAACUACUUAAAUCUUUAAUAUAAAGUGGUAUAGUUGCUGCAUGUAACCUAUGCCUAUCCUGUACACAUGAACCAUUUCUGACUUAACGAUGUCCUCCAAUACAAUGAGACAUGUGAAUAGUUACCAUAAUGUACUGCUUAGGGAGUAACACAGGAAGAGCCUGUACAAGCUCAGUAAAGAUUUGGUUUGAUUUGGAAUGCUUUUAUCUCAUGUUCAUUGAAUCUGUGAGUGUGGUAGGCUGCAGAUCCAGACAAUCACUUAUAUUGAGAGAAAGAGAAAUAUUUCAACAAAACACAGAGGGGAAAUUGCCCACUUUUAAUUUAUACUAUUUUUAGUCUGAUGGCUGUCUUUAUUUCUUCCUCCCUCUUGAGAGAAUCUGAGGGCAUAGGGCCCCCUGAUGAGGUGGCACAGCUGUGGAGGCUUUGGGGCCACUCUGGACACGCCUCUAACACAAGCACCUGCAAGAGGUAGUUCACACUUGAGGUCCAUCUGCUGGAAAGACCUUAGAGCUGAGCACGUUUGUUGUUAAGCAGCCGAGCAGUCCCAUUUUGUGAGGUACAACACAAACCCUUUGCAUGAAGAGGGAGACUGGCAGGUAAUUCUCCAUUUCAUCAAAAGCUGAGCACUUAAGCAUGAGUCUGAACUAAUCAUUCCACUGCAAAAACCUAUAUUUUUGUUGAUGCUUUUGAGGAUUUUUAUAAGUAAUAGCUGUAUCAUUUGAAUAUGGUUUAUUCCCAUCAAAACUCAUGCUGGGGCCUCCUGCCUUGUCAGUUAGCGUGGAGAGUGGGAGGUGUUUGAUUUAUGGAGAUGGCAUCACCGUGAAUAGAUUGCUUCCAUCUUGGGAGUGGGUGAGCUCUCCCUCUCCUGGGACUGCAUUAGUCCUUGACAAGGUUGUUCUGAAGCUCCGUUAUUCUGAGUAUUUGUCUCCAUGAGUGCCUGCUCCCUCCGCUUCUCAUGCCCCAGGCUUCACCAAACACUCAGCAGAUACAGCUGCCCCAUCGUGGAUCUCCCGCCUUCACACUGUGAAAAAAAAAAGAAAAGAAAAGAAAUUCUUCUAUGUGAAUUACGCAGUCAGAACGCAAGAGCUGGGAAAUGGGGAGGAGGGCUAUGAGAUACUGUAUUUUGGUCAUGACAUGACCAGUGCACUCAUGAACUCACAACAUGCAUGGUUGCAUGUGUAAAGCCUGCACAAGACUGGGCCUGUUAACAUUCAGUCAUGGCCGAAGAAGGGACUCAUGGGACCUGACCCCUUUUGUCUCUACUUCUUCCAAGGAAGCAAGAGUGAACAGAACCCCUCUUCUGUGAUGCACCGAGCCACUACAAACAGAAGCACCAGGACUAGUGACCAUGGACUGAGACCUCUGAAUUCCUGAGCCAAAAGCCCUCAUCCAGUGGCUGAUGGAAGCAGAGACAGACAUCCACAGAUAUACACUGAGCUGAAAUCGGGAAUUUAGUUGAAGAAAGGGAGGAAUCAAGAGCGAAGGGGUCUGUACCAGGUUGGAGAAACCCACAGGAACAAUUGGCCUGAACAAGGGAGAGCACAUGGACCCCAGAUGCUGUCCGGGAGGCCAGUACAAGACUGAUCCAGACCCCUGAACAUGGAUGUCAAUAAGGAGGCCUCUGCACUCCAGGGAGCCUCUGGUAGUGGAUUAGUAUUUUUCCCUGGUGCAAGAAGGGACUUUGAGAGCCCAUCCCACGUGAAGGGUUACACUCUGGCCCUGGACACAUGGGGAAGGGCCCAGGACCACCACAGGAAGAUUUGGUGGACUUUGCAGAGCCCCCUUUGAGGGUCCUACCCUGCCUGGGG